UCGGGAAUUUUGGGCAAUGGGCGAAAGCCUGACCCAGCAACGCCGCGUGAAGGAUGAAAUCCUUCGGGAUGUAAACUUCGCAAGAACAGGAAGAAUAAGUAAGAGUUAAUAUCUCUUACGAUGACGGUACUGUUUGUAAGCUCCGGCUAACUCCGUGCCAGCAGCCGCGGUAAUACGGGGGGAGCAAGCGUUGUUCGGAUUUACUGGGCGUAAAGGGCGCGUAGGCGGCCACCGCAAGUCGACUGUGAAAUCUCCGGGCUUAACCCGGAAAGGUCAGCCGAUACUGCGGGGCUAGAGUGCAGAAGGGGCAACUGGAAUUCUCGGUGUAGCGGUGAAAUGCGUAGAUAUCGAGAGGAACACCUGCGGCGAAGGCGGGUUGCUGGGCUGACACUGACGCUGAUGCGCGAAAGCUAGGGGAGCGAACGGGAUUAGAUACCCCGGUAGUCCUAGCCUUAAACGAUGAAUGCUUGGUGUCUGGGGUUUAUAGUCCCCGGGUGCCGUCGCUAACGCUUUAAG
rnacentral:rRNA from 1 species